AGAUAAUGUACUUAAUAACGCACUACCUGCAAUUAUGACCCAGUUAGGACCCUCACUCUGAACACCAUUGGACUUCUGGGACCUUGACACCCCGUUGGUUCUUGGCUUCAUUUCUAUAGUCACUGAAGUAGUAGAUGGAGAGGCUGCAGAUCAUGAAAGUAAUCCUUCACGUCAAGUGCUGAUGCCACACCUUCAUGAGUCUGAUUACAGUAACAGAACAAUGACAGCAAGAUCCCACAGGAAAUAAUGUAUUCUGAUUAAUCAAGAAGAUGCAUCUAUCGACCAAGAACUGAU
rnacentral:misc_RNA from 1 species